CGGGUGAGUAACACGUGGAUAACCUACCUAUAAGACUGGGAUAACUUCGGGAAGCCGGAGCUAAUACCGGAUAAUAUUUUGAACCGCAUGGUUCAAAAGUGAAAGACGGUCUUGCUGUCACUUAUAGAUGGAUCCGCGCUGCAUUAGCUAGUUGGUAAGGUAACGGCUUACCAAGGCAACGAUGCAUAGCCGACCUGAGAGGGUGAUCGGCCACACUGGAACUGAGACACGGUCCAG
rnacentral:rRNA from 1 species